rnacentral:rRNA from 1 species
CGUUUUUUGGGGUUAAUAAAAAAUAUAGUCUGCCCACUGAGAUUCUUAAAUGGCCGCGGUAUUUUGACCGUGCGAAGGUAGCAUAAUCAUUAGUCUAUUAAUUGUAGACUGGUAUGAAUGGCUCGAUGAAUAGCAACUGUUUCUAUGUUAAAAGUGAAUUUUAGGUUUUUGUGAAGACGCUUAAAUAAAACUAAUAGACGAGAAGACCCUAUUAAGCUUUACAUGAGUUGUUUUUAGAAGAAACAAUAAAUAGUUAAUGUUAUGUUGGGGCGACAGUAUUAUAGAGAAACUUUUAUUUUUAGUGUUAUGAUGUUGUAAGCAGAUAUCAAGAUGAUCCAUAAUUAGUGAUUAUAAGAAUAAGUUACUAUAGGGAUAACAGCGUAAUCUUAUUGGAGAGCUCAUAUUGAUAAUAAGGAUUGCGACCUCGAUGUUGAAUUAGGAUACCUUUUUGGUGCAGUCGUUUUAGAAGGUAGUCUGUUCGACUAUUAAAUUCCUACA